AGAGAGGCCAUAUAGUAGACCCAGAAGAAAAGCACCAGGCCCAGACGGUGUGACACCAGCCUGUCUGAAAACCUGCGCUGACCAACUGGCCCCCAUCUUCUCACAGAUCUUCAACAGAUCACUGGAGCUGUGCAAAGUCCCUGCCUGCUUCAAACGCUCCACCAUCAUCCCCAUCCCAAAGAAACCUAAGAUAACAGGACUUAAUGACUACAGACCUGUGGCCCUAACGUCUGUGGUCAUGAAGACAUUUGAGAGGUUGGUGUUGGCUUAUCUGAAGGACAUUACUGGACCCUUACUAGACCCCCUGCAGUUUGCUUACCGAGCAAACAGGUCCGUGGAUGAUGCAGUCAAUAUGGGACUGCACUUCAUCCUGCAACAUCUGGACAAAACAGGGACUUAUGUGAGGAUCCUGUUUGUGGACUUUAGCUCUGCUUUCAACACCAUCAUUCCAACACUCCUCCAGACCAAACUAACCCAGCUCUCUGUCCCUAGCUCUAUCUGUCAAUGGAUCACCAGCUUUCUGACAGAUAGGCAACAGCUAGUGAGAAUUGGUAAAUUCACAUCCAACAACCGCACCACCAGCACUGGCACCCCUCAGGGUUGCGUCCUCUCCCCACUGCUCUUCUCCCUCUACACCAAUGACUGCACCUCUAAAGACCCCUCUGUCAAGCUCCUGAAGUAUGCAGAUGACACUACAGUCAUCGGUCUCAUCAAGGAUGGAGACGAGUCUGCUUACAGACAGGAGGUUAAAGAGCUGGCUGUCUGGUGCAGUCUUAACAACUUGGAGCUGAACACCCUCAAAACUGUGGAGAUGAUCGUGGACUUCAGGAGGAACCCCCCUGCACUCCCCCCACUCACCAUCAUGGAUAGCACUGUAACGACAGUGGAGUCAUUCAGGUUCCUGGGCACCACCAUCUCUCAGGACCUGAAGUGGGACACUCACAUUGACUCCAUUGUUAAAAAGGCCCAGCAGAGGUUGUACUUCCUUCGCCAGCUGAGGAAAUUCAACCUGCCACAGGAGCUGCUGAAACAGUUCUACUCAGCCGUCAUCGAGUCUGUUCUGUGCACUUCAAUAACUGUCUGGUUUGGUUCAGCUACAAAAUCA
rnacentral:lncRNA from 1 species